UGUAUCGCGAGGUGCAGACUGAAGGCAGUGUGGAGCAAAACUGCGAGCUGACGAAUAGAAAUCGGAUAUGAGGCUGUCUGCGUGAGGACGAGUCAGCAUGUGAUGACGAAGUCCCAUACUCAUCCGGACACUCGGACAGUAAAUCCGGCAGUUGUGCAGGGAAGGCGGUGUAA
rfam:Endozoicomonas montiporae strain LMG 24815 scaffold00003, whole genome shotgun sequence.